rnacentral:rRNA from 1 species
AAGCGCUUGCUACCAGACUUGUCGGCGGUGUUCCGCCGGUCUUCUGACCGGUUCACUCGCCGCCGACAGGCCAGCAUCGUCCGGGGCCGCCGGAUAAAGGCUCGGGGAAUGUAGCUCCCUCGGGAGUGUUAUAGCCCCUUGCACAAUACGGCGCGCCUCGGGCGAGGUCCGCGCUUCGGCAAGGAUGCUGGCGUAAUGGUCGUAAGCGG